AGGGGAAUAUUGGACAAUGGGCGCAAGCCUGAUCCAGCCAUGCCGCGUGAGUGAUGAAGGCCUUAGGGUUGUAAAGCUCUUUCACUGGGGAAGAUAAUGACGGUACCCAGAGAGUCC
rnacentral:rRNA from 1 species